GAUGAACGCUAGCGGCAGGCUUAAUACAUGCAAGUCGAGGGGUAGCAAGAUUGUAGCAAUACAAUUGUUGACGACCGGCAAACGGGUGCGGAACACGUACACAACCUUCCUACAAGUGGGGAAUAGCCCAGAGAAAUUUGGAUUAAUACCCCGUAACAUAGCGAUGUGGCAUCACAUUGCUAUUAUAGCUUCGUCGCUUGUUGAUGGGUGUGCGGCUGAUUAGAUAGUUGGUGGGGUAACGGCCAACCAAGUCUACGAUCAGUAGCUGAUGUGAGAGCAUGAUCAGCCACACGGGCACUGAGACCCGGGCCCGACUCCUACGGGAGGCAGCAGUAAGGAAUAUUGGACAACGGACGCAAGUCUGAUCCAGCCAUGCCGCGUGAAGGAUUAAGGUCCUCUGGAUUGUAAACUUCUUUUAUAAGGGACGAAAAAAGGUCUUUCUAGAUCGUCUGACGGUACCUUAUGAAUAAGCACCGGCUAACUCCGUGCCAGCCGCCGCCGUAACAC
rnacentral:rRNA from 1 species